UACGUAGGGUGCGAGCGUUAAUCGGAAUUACUGGGCGUAAAGCGUGCGCAGGCGGUUCGUUGUGUCGGCGGUGAAAGCCCCGGGCUUAACCUGGGAACUGCCAUCGAAACUGGCGUACUAGAGUGUGGCAGAGGGGGGUGGAAUUCCGCGUGUAGCAGUGAAAUGCGUAGAUAUGCGGAGGAACACCGAUGGCGAAGGCAGCCCCCUGGGCUAACACUGACGCUCAGGCACGAAAGCGUGGGGAGCAAACAGG
rnacentral:rRNA from 1 species